GAUGAUGCCUAUCAACUGUUUAAAAGUAUGGUUCUGCUAUCACUCUUGGGAUGGACCUGCGGUGCAUUAGCUAGUUGGUAGGGUAACGGCCUACCAAGGCGAUGAUGCAUAGCCCGAGUUGAGAGACUGAUCGGCCACAUUGGGACUGAGACACGGCCCAAACUCCUACGGGAGGCAGCAGUAGGGAAUCUUCCACAAUGGACGCAAGUCUGAUGGAGCAACGCCGCGUGAGUGAAGAAGGUUUUCGGAUCGUAAAGCUCUGUUGUUGGUGAAGAAGGAUAGAGGUAGUAACUGGGCCUUUAUUUGACGGUAAUCAACCAGAAAGUCACGGCUAACUACGUGCCAGCAGCCGCGGUAAU
rnacentral:rRNA from 1 species